rnacentral:rRNA from 1 species
UACGGAGGGUGCGAGCGUUAUUCGGAAUUACUGGGCGUAAAGCGCGUGUAGGCGGCUUGACAAGUCUGAUGUGAAAGCCCUGGGCUCAACCUGGGAAGUGCCUUGGAAACUGUCAGGCUUGAGUACCGGAGAGGAUGGGGGAAUUCCCGGUGUAGAGGUGAAAUUCGUAGAGCUCGGGAGGAAUACCAGUGGCGAAGGCGCCCAUCUGGACGGUAAAUGACGCUGAGACGCGAAAGCGUGGGGAGCAAACAGG